rnacentral:rRNA from 1 species
GAUGAACGCUGGCGGCGUGCCUAAUACAUGCAAGUCGAGCGAACAGACGAGGAGCUUGCUCCUCUGACGUUAGCGGCGGACGGGUGAGUAACACGUGGAUAACCUACCUAUAAGACUGGGAUAACUUCGGGAAACCGGAGCUAAUACCGGAUAAUAUAUUGAACCGCAUGGUUCAAUAGUGAAAGACGGUUUUGCUGUCACUUAUAGAUGGAUCCGCGCCGCAUUAGCUAGUUGGUAAGGUAACGGCUUACCAAGGCAACGAUGCGUAGCCGACCUGAGAGGGGGAUCGGCCACACUGGAACUGAGACACGGUCCAGACUCCUACGAGAGGCAGCAGUAGGGAAUCUUCCGCAAUGGGCGAAAGCCUGACGGAGCAACGCCGCGUGAGUGAUGAAGGUCUUCGGAUCGUAAAACUCUGUUAUUAGGGAAGAACAAAUGUGUAAGUAACUAUGCACGUCUUGACGGUACCUAAUCAGAAAGCCACGGCUAACUACGUG